UACGCAGGCGGUCUAUUAAGUCGGAUGUGAAAGCCCGGGGCUCAACCCCGGAAUUGCAUUCGAAACUGGUGGACUUGAGUACGAGAGAGGGAAGCGGAAUUCCUAGUGUAGAGGUGAAAUUCGUAGAUAUUAGGAGGAACACCAGCGGCGAAAGCGGCUUCCUGGCUCGAUACUGACGCUCAUGUACGAAAGCGUGGGGAGCAAACA
rnacentral:rRNA from 1 species